rnacentral:rRNA from 1 species
GACGAACGCUGGCGGCGUGCUUAACACAUGCAAGUCGAACGAUGAAGCUGGAGCUUGCUCUAGCGGAUUAGUGGCGAACGGGUGAGUAACACGUGAGCAAUCUGCCCUUGACUCUGGGAUAACUGCGGGAAACUGUAGCUAAUACCGGAUACUUUCACCGGGGGGCAUCCUCUGGUGAUGAAAGAAUUUCGGUCAAGGAUGAGCUCGCGGCCUAUCAGCUUGUUGGUGAGGUAACGGCUCACCAAGGCGACGACGGGUAACCGGCCUGAGAGGGUGACCGGUCACACUGGGACUGAGACACGGCCUAGACUCCUACGGGAGGCAGCAGUGGGGAAUAUUGCACAAUGGGCGUAAGCCUGAUGCAGCAACGCCGCGUGAGGGAUGAAGGCCUUCGGGUUGUAAACCUCUUUUAGCAGGGAAGAAGCGAAAGUGACGGUACCUGCAGAAAAAGCACCGGCUAACUACGUGCCAGCCGCCGCAGUAA